CACACCUGGGAGACCUGGGUGGUGUACCUGACCCUCAAAUGCAGCCUGGCCUAGUCCCAGCAGUGACAGCCUGGCUUGAUCUGCACUAGAGAAUAUUCCAAGAUUGCAUGACCUUCAAUGAGGAAACCUGCAGAGGACUUUUCUGGCAUUCCAAAUCUACUGAAUGUGACCCUACGAAUCAAUGACUCAGCUCUGUCUCUACUAUCAGUGCUUUCUAUGAGCCCAGUAUCACUAGACUGCAGAAAGCACAGAUAGUUUGUUCUUCUGACAAUUUCCUCCUGCCAAACCAAGCUCCUGUUAUGACAGCACAGGAUAAGAACACAAGGGCACGAUCGGUGAUUUGACAGCCUCGCGCAGCUCCUGCCGCUGCACAAGCUUCUGCCGCGGCUGCCUGGGUCUGUCAGGAGUUGAAAGGGGCUGCGAGUGCUUGGGGGAGCCGCAGUCCUGACGACUGAGCACUGCUAAGUGGUCUCCCUGUCCAAGGAGAAGGCAUUUUCUGCAGGAUUGGAACCUUGGACCUAUUACCACUUCAUCUCCCCAGAAAAGCAGACAGUUUUUCUACAGAG